rnacentral:rRNA from 1 species
UACUUCCUCCUUCUUAACUACUCCUCGACGUUUAGGAGGCCACGGGCUUGACUGGUACCUUCUGUAGUGCGAUUAGACUUUGCGUUUUUUCAUCUUCCCCUGACGUGCGGGCUCUACGUGCUGGGGCUCGGUUAGCGCCCGCUCGACGUUCGGCAGCCGCCAGUCGUCCUCCCUCCACGCCUGUCCGGUCUAGAGCGGUCUAGGGUGGUCUAGGCCCGCCACCGCCGUACGGCUAUACACACCUGUACCGGCCGGCCUCACGAUAGUCUCCGCCUACGUGGAGGAUGGGUGGUAGAGUGGCUACCUUCGGACCGCCUCGUGAGAUAGGAGUACCAUCUUCGAUCGUCACCACCGGCCGUCCUCCUUGAUGAUGCCACCGCGCCCCGCCCUCCACCACGCUACCGCGCAUACCCUCCGCUACGUCGUCUCGACCCUCCCUACCCCAGGCCGCCGUGGCCCUCCCUCCACCACGUCGCUGCUCCACCCUCCACCUCCACGACGCUUCCUCCCCACCCUCCACCUCCACCACAACGCACCCAAGUCCUCGUCUCCUCUCCCCUCACCCCUCCCCCGCUAUCCUAAUCAACAAAGGGCCGACAUUUAAGUUGGUACGUAGGACUACUGAACUUUUCCUACCACACCGAUCAGCACCUCUUCUAGGAUUAGCUAUUGAUAUAUGUAGCCCCGUUCGAUCGACGUUCGGACGUUGAUUUUGAGUGUUGUUACAGUUCAAGCCGCGUUGACGUACCUACGUUCUCUGCUGUUGAACCUAGAUCUCCUCUACGAUCUUCUAGUUAGCUCCUCCCUUUUAUAAACCCAGUACCCACCACGGGGACGUCUUUUUAAUACUAAGGAAGUCAAUGGUUGGACUAGCUCUCCUCUUUCCUCAACUUCAAAGUUCUAUCUUCCAGCGUCGACCUCCCUCUGUUUGAACAGUGAUUGACAUCGACGUCCACGACCUAGGUCAGGUGCUUGUUAGAGCCUCUCGGCAGCCUCCGCCUGGCCACCAGCACCGCCUUAACAUCUAGGUAGCUUCCUCUCAGCCUGGCCGCCAGGUCCGGCUGCCAGGACGGCCUCCCCGUACCCUAGUCUAGAGCCGGCGGCGCAGCUUACCUAUCCCCGCUGGCCGGUCGCCAGGACGGCUUCCCCGCAGUCUAACACGAGACCGGCGGCGCGUCCUCCUAUGUCUUCCCUAGUCCCCUUUCUCUCGCUACCCAAACCGAUUUAGGCCCUCUAUUUACCCGACGCCGGAAGAGCCCCGCGGCGGCACUGGAAGGGUCUCCCCGGUGGUGCUGGAAGGGGUCGAGACGGGAGGCGAUGCCGACGGCAGCCGCCGGAAGAUAGGUACGACCUCGACGGGGGGCGGACCUAGGCCGGAGCGUGUCGGGGGAGCGGACCUAAACCAGGGCCGCGGCGGGGUGAGGACCCAGGCCGACGGCACGGUUGGGGCGUGGACCCAGACCGGCGGCGUCACGUGAGCGGGGUGAGGAUCCAGGCUGUCGGCGCGGCGGGGGCGCGGACCCAGGUUGGUAGUCGUGGGGGUGGGGGACCGUGUGUUCGCGGCUGUAGAUGGGGUUAGGGGUUCGUGUGGCGGGUUUCCCGGGUACGGGGUAGGGGGCUGUGAUAGGACGGAGCGACCGCGUGGUACCUGCAGAAGGAGAAGACGGAUCUUGAAGAAGUAGGAACUGUCCGUGUCUCUUCAAGCCUCGGCGGCUGGGGUUGUCGCCUUGUUGUCGAUACUAGCUCAAUCGCGUUUCCAAAAGAGACGACGUUCUCGUUCCUACCUCCGGAGCUUCCUGGUAGUAAAAGACAUCGACCCUACGCCUUCUCAUGCCUAACCAAGUUCUGGGGCUGUUAAGUAGAGUCUGCCGAAUACUAAGUACCCAAUUUAGGUUACGAAGAGGGUUGAACUCAACCGGUUCUAUAGAACAAAUGGUGAGAAAUAUGCUACUAAAACAUUCCCACCUCUUCAAGCGCCUGGGACCCAAGACAUCCGUACAGCGUCGACGAUCGGCGACGUCGUAGUUGCUGUUGUCGCGCCGCGAGGACCACGAGGAGAGGGAGAUGACGGAACGUACGAUGUUACGGUGGCGGAGGAGUGAUCCUUUAGACCUCAAUUGACUUCAGGUUGAUAAUGCAACCUGUUCCAAGUAGAUGAAGUACUUCAAAUGUUUUGGGGGUUUCGGACUUUUUAUU